rnacentral:misc_RNA from 1 species
GUUUUAGAAAGCCGUUUGGCCUUGUUAUUCAACAGUAGUUCAGUCAAAAAAUGUCAGGGUCAUGAUAUGUAGGUUUCGUUUCUGCGGUCCCAGUCUGCCCGGGUCUCGAAAAGACACCCAAACAGACCAGGCACAAAAGGGAGAAACCCGAUCAAUAAAAAAACAGUGCACAGGAGUGUUGAUGUGAGGGUAGUUUACACCCUACUCAAACAGAAAUGAUCCUUCCGCAGGUUCACCUACGGAAA